GCCAGCAAUAGCAAACGGGCCCCGUACGGUUUAUAUCCGGGUUUACGGGAUACGGGAUCUAAAUGGGCGCGAGUACUGGUUUCCUGAUGGGUCCCGUAUGGCUAAAAAAUCACGCUAAAACUCUCGUAGAAAUCAUAUCUGGGUUACGGAAUAUGGGAAUGUGAUGGGUUUCCCAUUUGGGGCCCAAUUGGUUCUGUUACAAGAAAAUAUUUUAUAAAACCGAAUCUUAAAUUUCGCCAUUUACAAUAACAAAAUUAAUUGAGUUUCAAAGAAGUUCAUAAAAUGGAACUUGUAUACAUUAUUUUUACAUUAUAAUUAAAGAGAAAUCGGUUUUUCGUUGGAUUUUGUUUCUACAUUAAAACUGGAUUAUGUUAGCGUUUAAGUUUAUAUAAAAGAAGUUUUUAUUUCUUUAAAAAACGAACUAAAUUUUACUAUGCAUAAAGUUAGUUAUUUUAAAGAAUUGAAUUAAAUAUCGUUCACCUUUACAAAAAUUAGUUUCACGAUUAAUUUUCAUGUCACAAUAUUAUAAUGUUGACAUCUUCAUUUUUACUGUUUUACUUCCUUGACAAAGAAGUAAACAAGGAACUUGUGGCAUAAAUUCUUGGCAACAUUACAAAAUUACAACCCGUAUAAAUAUAUUUUUUUUCAAUGCAAAUUAAAAGAUAACUUUUCGCACAGCUACUCGUCAAACAAAUAAAAUGAUGUAUGCAAUUGUUGCCUUUGAUGAGGAAAAUAACACUGACUAUCUACCUCUAAUUUGGCUUGUUAAUGCGAUGAGCGAAAAUGUUCUGUCUAUAAUAUCUUCAAGGAAAUCAACAGAUUUUUAUUGGCCACGCUGGACAAAUAUGAAAAAAAUUCACGCAGCAAAAUCAAUCUGUCAAGAACCAGAAGUUGGUUGGCUGCGAUUUUCUGGAAGAAUUUUGUCCACUGCUGACACAGAAUCUGAAGCAAAAGAAAAAUGUAAAUAUGCGGAAGAUACAUCAAAUGUUGAUGAACUAUAUCUAAAAAAUCGAAAAAGCCAGUCUUGUGAAGAAGAUUCUCAAGUAAAGUUAUUUGAAAAAAAAAAGGAAAUUGAAUCUAUUUUUUUUAAAGAAGAACUUAGUAAAUCAAUAAAGAAAAAGAAAACAGAGUCAACAAAAGGACAUAUGAAGUUCAAUAAAAGUUUUGAAGACCUUAAUAAAUCCCCAGAACAAGCUUUUAUCAAGCCAGAUGUUCCUUUAAUUCCUCGAUGUUCUAACACUUCAGAUGAUGUUGAUUUCAAUAAAAAUUCUUUAACAGAUUUUUCAUUCAAUUUGUCUGAAACUUAUCAAAGAAUGCCUAAUUCUUCAACAAUAGUACCUUUUGCUGCAGCAGAAAAUUCAGGAGUAUGCAAAACUAUUUUGAGAGGGUUAGAACAAAUUAAAGAAACACAAAAAUUUCACUCUAAGAUGAUUCAGAAUUUAUUGCAACGGUUUAACAUAGAAAGAGACAUAGCAUCAGUGGAGCUACCAGAAGGUUUAACAUUUCCUGUAACAACAAUGGAAGAACUGGAUAAGGCUCUUGAAAUAUUAGCUAAUGUUACUACUCAAAGGAUUUUGGUUCAUAUUCUUUUUGAAAAUGGUGGGCAAGAUAUUUCAGAAUUUGUUAAUCGAAAUAUGACUUAUCUUAUUGGAAAUGUAUUGGCCAGACAGCUAAAUUUGACCGGCCAAAAAAAUAAGCGUGGAUUUAUUAAAACCAUUUUGUACAACAUUCUUUAUAGUAUGCUAGAAUUUAGUAUUUUUGAAUUAACAUAUUUUAUUUUACAUUUGAAUUUACAUAUUUUAUUUUAAUUCAAAUAAAAAUUUGAAAAUAUUUUUUUACAAUAGCUUCCAUAAAAAUAAAUACAUCUACAAAAGAGUGUACAAAAAAACAGCUUGAGGAGGCUCUUUCAAAAUGGUUUGAAAAUGCUCGUGACAGAGAAUGACUUCUGAAAGAUCUAAACGUAGAAAAAUAGCUGAAGUGGUAUCAAAACUUUUUCAAGAAUCUUCAACUUUAAAUAUACAGAAUCAGGAUGUUUAUCCAUAUAGUAGCAAUAUGUUUUUUGAUUCUUCAUAUUUACAUGGAAUAAGAGAACAAGUUGACAGUAAUUUGGAACCUAACGAAUUUUUAACUAAUUCUAAUUAUUCUGAUAAUAGUUUAGCUGUUAUGGAGACUGAAAUUAGUGAAAUAGAAAGUAACAAAAACACUAUUGAAUUACUUACAGAUGAUAGUAAUGAAUGGUCUCCUGAGUCAUUUAUUUCUGAUGAUUAUAAGAGUGAUGAAAGUAAUGACAGCGAAAAAUUGCCUCAUAAACUUGCUAAUUGGGCAUUAAGCUUCAAUAUAACACAUGCUGCUUUGAACAGUUUGUUACCUUUAUAAAGAGAAUAUGGGUUAAGUUUGCCUAAAGAUUCAAGAACACUUCUUCACACCCCCCAAAAUAUAGAUACAAAAAUUGUCGCGGGCGGAGAGUAUUACUAUUUCAGCAUGCAGUAUUGGCUUUUAAUAAUGUUUAAAAACAAUUCAAUAGAAUCAAACAACAACCAACUUACCAUUCACAUUAACAUUGAUGGUAUACCUAUAUUCACCAGUUCCAGUACUUCUCUUUGGCCAAUUUUAGGUACUCUUAUUGAAGCUGGAGCAAUAGUAUUUCCAAUAGCAAUUUAUUGUGGUGACAAAAAACCAAAUUCUAUUCAUGAAUAUCUAGAAGAUUUUUUGGUUGAGAUUAAAGCUCUUACUGAAAAUGGUUUUACCCAUGAAAAUGUAAAGUAUGAUGUAAAGCUUGCUGCAAUUAUAUGUGAUGCACCAGCAAGAGCAUUUGUGAAAUGUAUAAAGGGUCACAAUGGUUAUAAUUGUUGUGAGCGUUGUGUUCAAAAAGGAGAGUGGUGUGGCAAAAUAAUCCUUCCGCAUACAUCAGCAACUUUAAGGACUGAUUCAGAUUUUCGUUAUCAAAAUAGUUUGGAACAUCAUAUUGGUGUGUCUCCUUUAAUUGAGUUAGGUUUUGACAUGGUAUCAAAAUUUCCUUUAGAUUAUAUGCACCUAGUAUGUCUAGGGGUUGUGCGAAGAAUCAUCAACUUAUGGUUAAAUGGUCCCAGAUCAUGUUCACAUUGGCUGUUGGCAAUAUUUGUCUAGUGGUGUGAGUUGACUACAGAACGUCUCCAAUUUUAGUUAAUGACUCCAAUUAAAUAAACUCCUUUAAUGGCAGGUCUUAUUGAAAAAGAUAUUGUAUGAAGAAAAAAGUGCUUAAAGAAGUGGUUUUCACAAAGAUUUUAAUUCAUGAUUACGAUACGAUUCACGAUUAAAGAAUAAAAAUGUAAUUUUAAUGUGCUUUUUGUUUGAAAUAAAUAAGCAUAUAAUAUGAA